AGCUGCGUGUCUGCGAGGUAAACAGCUGCUGACCUUUUGACUUGGAUGCUACUUGACGCUUUGGCCCAAACACAAGCCACUCCCUCGCCGCACAUGGAAACCACCAGUGAAGGGUUGCUGCCCGCAGAGGGGAAGCUGCAGAUGUUGGGUCUCAUAUACUGCACAAGAUCUAUCCGCCGCUGAGGGUUCUGCAGAGCGGCAGCUGGUGUGUUUUGUAGCGGAUUUACUAAUCUGAGGGUGAAGAGAAGAUUUCAGAUGAGCGACUCCACUCAUCUGACAACAUGACCAGCGUCAACUCUCCAGCAUGUUUGCUUGCCCGUAACCACUUUUAUAAAAACUCGCCCCCCGGCCACGAGAAGAUAAAGCCUGUUGUGGAUGUGUUGAGCUGUCUGAACCACUCCGUCACGCACAAUCCGAGACGGUUCACCCUCUGGGUCACCAUGGCAACGCCUCCAGGAUUCCCGAGUGGCAUUAGGAACAAAGAAGUAUGGGUCAACGUUGUUCUGAACACAUCUUCUGUUCACUUGUCCCCCUCCAAACCAACCAGCCCUGCUGACCGGAGCGUCAAGUAGAAGAAAACAAGCGCCCCUCAUUGUUCACAGAAUGAUAUGGAAACUUAAAAAGCGGGUUCCCAUGACGUCCCCAUUCUCGAGGCCUCUUGGCUGCUCGGGAUUUGACAGCCUGAGUCAAACGGACAAGCUCGGACACAGUGGAAGAUUCCACAGUAAACAGGCACAUAAAUGUAACAUUUACUGUCAAAGCCUGUGGGUGCAGUGACAAAUGUUGAUUGAAUACAGUUCCAACCUACGUUUCUGAAAGUGUGUACCGUUAACAAAGUCGGAUUUGAGUAAAUACUACUUUCAUCUCUUUGAUGGAGCAACGUUGUUCAAUUGGUGAGCGAUGUAAAUGUAAAGCCAUCAUUUCAGUGGAACAGUACUGUGAAAAUCCACAGUUUGUGUAAAGAAAGAUUGUUUGCAGCGGGUCUUAACUCCAGUCCCUACACAAAUUAACUAAAGAUAAUGAAAUACAUACUAUGACUCCCAGCACAAAUUCACAGAAGUGUAUUUUAAAGUGGUGGUUUUUUUUGUAAUAUGGAAGAAGGAAGCCGGCUGUUUAGCAGCUGUUGACAAUAAUAAAGGUGACUGGGAAUAUGUCAUCAUGAACAGCUGCACCAUUUCCAUCAUAACUCAUCACAAGUAUGUAAACAUUGCUAAUAUGAAUAUUUAGAACUGCAAGGAUUAGUCGACUAAAUCAAUAAUCGAUUAAAAGAAACUUGUUUUGAAAACUAAUUAAGAAAUUUGAACAGGGAUGUAGUCAGCUAUUCAAAUUCAUUUGAAAGUAACUCUACCUAUUUGUGUUGUAAUGCGAUAGUGCUAAAACAGACCAUAAGUCUUAUGGUUCGGAUAGUACCACGGAUCUAAUUACUAUAGGAGUAGGAGGUAACUAAUCGGUUUUCUUAAAACUAUCAUGUCGCCCAGCAGUAAAACCAUCAAGUGGAAGGCAGAACAGAUGUCGUGGAAGAGAGGAACGAGGUGUCUGUAAACAAGGGGACAAGUUCCAGGCAAGGAGAUGAAACCGCCUCCUUCUCUCCUACUUUCCAACGAGCCACCGUGCAGCCGGUCACCCGGAAAAACUGCAGCGUGGGGAGGACGAGGGGCCGCGCCGCUCUUCAGAUGAGCCACAGAACAAACCCUCCAACCUUUCAGCACUGUGGUGCAGGGGCCCCCACUUUGCACUAUUGUUUUCUCUCGUUGCUCGGCUUCGUGCAGCCAAACAGACGGCAGGGGGCUGAAUGGGGAACAGCGGCGCUUACACAAAUCCAUUUCACAGUCAAAUGGAAAGAGCCAUGCGUGAGGAUUUGUGCUGCAGCGCAGUCAGCGGGGACAGUAGAGGUUUUCUGCUUCUGUAUCGUCAAACCCUUUACUGUGUGAAUGGAGCUUCGAUGUGCUGAACCACUCUAGUAGGCUUUGAAUAUAUAACUUGCCCGACCACACGACUUGCUGUUUUAUUUCAGUGAACUCAGUCAAUGUUGUAGUGAGGAGUUCAUGGAAUAGAUGGGUAUACCAAAAAAAGUUUAGCUUUAAUUAUGCCUGUGAAUCAAAUGACAAUUUCUUCAUAAAGACUAUUAAAUCGGCAUGUGAAACAAGGGCAUAUAAAUCGUUAGGGCAGCGAUAUAAAAUAUGCUGAUACCAAAAUAUAACAAAAUCUGUUUUUGUACCGUUCAAUAAAAUUGAAACAACUUGAAUCCAGAAAAAAUAGAUGAGUCAUGAAGCAACACCAC